CCUACGGGCGGCUGCAGUGGGGAAUAUUGGACAAUGGGGGGAACCCUGAUCCAGCCAUGCCGCGUGUGUGAAUAAGGCCCUCGGGUUGUAAAGCACUUUCAGUGAGGAAGAACGCCUGGUGGUUAAUACCCAUCAGGAAAGACAUCACUCACAGAAGAAGCACCGGCUAACUCCGUGCCAGCAGCCGCGGUAAUACGGAGGGUGCGAGCGUUAAUCGGAAUUACUGGGCGUAAAGCGCGCGUAGGUGGCUUGAUAAGCCGGUUGUGAAAGCCCCGGGCUCAACCUGGGAACGGCAUCCGGAACUGUCAAGCUAGAGUGCAGGAGAGGAAGGUAGAAUUCCCGGUGUAGCGGUGAAAUGCGUAGAGAUCGGGAGGAAUACCAGUGGCGAAGGCGGCCUUCUGGACUGACACUGACACUGAGGUGCGAAAGCGUGGGUAGCAAACAGGAUUAGAUACCCCUGUAGUC
rnacentral:rRNA from 1 species